GGCCGCGGCGCUGCCCCCUGAGCGAGGCCGGGGCCAUAACGGGCCGCGCCGUGGGUGUCCAGAAAUAAAACACUCGUGUAGCGGUGUAAGCUGAGGCAGCUGCACUGGCUGCCGCAGCAGUCUGCUCCCACCUUUCCCGCUCCCACCAUGUGAGGUGUGUGAGGCGGUGCCUGUCUCACCCUGCUGCCGCAGGCGGGCGGGGGCCGGGGCUGCCCCCAAACCUCGGGAGACGCCAAGCGGCCCCGAGGCCCGUGGCAACCCCCGAGGCCCGCGGCGGCCCCCGAGCGGGAAGGUGGUCUGUGCGGCCGCUGCCUGUGGACAUGAAGGUUUCCACGCGCUGCUCCGUUCUGCGGUGAUCCAAGUCACAGUCAGUUUCCAGAUUAACACCAGAACAACAAAGGGAUUAUCAGCACUGCCUGGAGGGAACCACCAUGAAUUUCUACCUUAUCAUGUGUUGCCAAUAAGAACUGCUUCCAGAUUAAGAAAAAAAAAUUCUGAACAAUGUUGA
rnacentral:lncRNA from 1 species